GACGAACGCUGGCGGCGUGCCUAAUACAUGCAAGUCGAGCGGACCGACGGGAGCUUGCUCCCUUAGGUCAGCGGCGGACGGGUGAGUAACACGUGGGUAACCUGCCUGUAAGACUGGGAUAACUCCGGGAAACCGGGGCUAAUACCGGAUGCUUGAUUGAMCCGCAUGGUUCAAUCAUAAAAGGUGGCUUUYAGCUACCACUUACAGAUGGACCCGCGGCGCAUUAGCUAGUUGGUGAGGUAACGGCUCACCAAGGCGACGAUGCGUAGCCGACCUGAGAGGGUGAUCGGCCACACUGGGACUGAGACACGGCCCAGACUCCUACGGGAGGCAGCAGUAGGGAAUCUUCCGCAAUGGACGAAAGUCUGACGGAGCAACGCCGCGUGAGUGAUGAAGGUUUUCGGAUCGUAAAACUCUGUUGUUAGGGAAGAACAAGUACCGUUCGAAUAGGG
rnacentral:rRNA from 1 species